CUCUCUCUCUCUCUCUCUCUCUCCCAGAACCCACGGCUGCUGCCUUGAAAUCCAGUCAGGCCUUUGUUGUUCUCCGCAGGAACAAUCAGCUUCACAUCUUCAUCAACAUUGUCGGUAGAUUUGGAAAAUAAAGGUAUCCAACUAAGGAAUUUGGAGACUACUGGACAAAUGAGACAUCUGAAGAAAAAUCAUCCAGAAAAAAAAAUGCCUCAAAAAAGGAAUAAAUUGGCCUAAUGAUAUAUCACAUUUCUAACAAGAGAAGAUGAUGGGCAUCAAAGAAACUACACAUGGAGUUUGCUUUCUUUGUGGCCAAAAUAAGCCACUGUGCAAGAAAAUACCCCUGCAUUGGCUGCCAACUGUAUGCUGUCCUAAUAAGACAAGCAGGAGAAAAAAAAAAGAGUGACUGCCAAACCAUACCCAGACAAGGCGAGACAGUCCUUCAAAAACUCUGCUUCAUAGAAAAGUCUGUCAUAUAUUCUAGGCUUGUGGGCCAAAGAUGGUUGCCCCAACAUUGCAGUGAAAUGUUCAGGUCGACAGCUGUUUCU